rnacentral:lncRNA from 1 species
AGUUUUUGGCUAUUGGAUUAAGAGAUGUGCAGUUAGGAUGAUGUGGGCCUUCUAGGAUUGAGUGGGUGGUUGGUUGAAUAGUGUGAUCUAACGGGUGAAAAUGAUCAAAAGGGUAGAUCUAACGGCGAAAAACUUGGUAGCACUAAGUGCUUCGUGCUAUUAAUAACAUAGUAGCCGCACUAUAUAUAUAUAUAUAUAUAUAUAUAUAUAUAUAU